AGAAUGCCGCGGUGAAUACGUUCCCGGGUCUUGUACACACCGCCCGUCACACCAUGGGAGUCGGAAAUGCCCGAAGUCUGUGACCCAACCGAAAGGAGGGAGCAGCCGAAGGCAGGUCGGAUGACUGGGGUGAAGUCGUAACAAGGUAGC
rnacentral:rRNA from 1 species